rnacentral:pre_miRNA from 1 species
CAUGCAUCAGUGGGGGUCCCUCGGCCUGGCCUGCGCCUUCUCACAAUCCGGGACCCCUUGAGGGAUGUCGGAGAGACGGUUCCUGCCCAAUUCUGCAGGCCAGGCCGAGGGACCCCACUGGUGCACG